rnacentral:rRNA from 1 species
CUGGUUGAUCCUGCCAGUAGUCAUAUGCUUGUCUUAAAGAUUAAGCCAUGCAUGUCCAAGUAUAAGCCCCCAUGGGGUGAAACUGCGGAUGGCUCAUUAAAUCGGUUGGAAUCUACACGAGAGUGUAACUUAAACGGAUAACCACGGAAAAUCUGCGGCUAAUACGUGCAUAAAAGUGGUCUUCUGGAUCACUGCAUUUAUCAGAUUGAAAGGAUGGGGGUAACCCCAACUUGAAUGAUGAUAAAUCAUCUCGCGGAUCGCACUAGCUUGACUAGGCGACAAUUCGUUCGACUUUCCGCCCUAUCAACUUUGGAUGGUAGUGUAGUGGACUACCAUGGUGGUUACGGGUGACGGAGAAUUGGGGUUCGAUUCCGGAGAGGGAGCCUGAGAGAUGGCUACCACUUCCAAGGAAGGCAGCAGGCGCGAAAAUUGCCAAACCUACAAAGUAGGAGGCAGUGACAAUAAAUAUCGGAGGGUCAAUUGAUCCGACUGGAAUGAGAUGGAUGUAAAUAAAUCUACGAGAAACAAUUGGAGGAAAAGUCUGGUGCCA